rnacentral:rRNA from 1 species
ACAUGCCACCAUCCCACCCUGAACACACCCAAUUUCAUCUGAUUUCAGAAAGAAAUCAGGAUUGGGCCUGGUUAGUACAUGGAUGGGAUAUGACAAGGAGAUACCAAGGAUCUCCAGGUAGGGCUGGGA